rnacentral:rRNA from 1 species
AUGGCGUCCUCGUCCAUGAUCACCUUCGCAGCCACCUUGUGCCUUGUGGCCGCUUCCGCCGUCGCCGUUCCGCCGGCCACCCUCCAGGAGACGUGCCAGAGCGCUGGCGAGCAGGAGGCGCUGUGCGUGCAGCUGCUGUCGUCGAGCCCGGCGGCCCAGAAGACGCCGGUGGACACGCCCGGGCUCGCCCAGGCGGCCGUGAUGGCGGCGGGGUCGAACGCGACGGAGACGGCGGCGCACCUGCAACGGCUCUUCGAAUCCGAAGACCUCAAGAAGAUGAGCCCGGAGCUCCAGCGCUGCGUCGAGGACUGCACCGAGAGGUACCAGUCGGCCGCGAAGUUCCUGGGCCAAGCAUCGGAGAAGAUGACCGCGGGCUCCUUCGACGAGGCGAGCGUGCUGAUCGACGGCGCGCAGUCGGUGGUGACGCUGUGCCAGCGGUCGUGCGAGGGGGUGCCGCAGGGGGAGCUCACGGCGUGCACCAAAGGCGUCGACCAACUCUGCACCAUUGCCGCAUCAGUCACUCGGUUGGUCGUUCAGAAGUAA